CGGGCGGACUGGAAAAUCCGGACGAGAAUCUUUGGCCAGAGAUGUCAAAGCACAGGCUUACUUCUCAUGGAAGGUAGCAAUUACUAUUAUCCCUACCUGACAAGGAGAGGAACCUAGGCACAGAGGUUAAUGGAAAAUCCUACAAGCCACAUGUGGUGGUUUUCCUGCCAGACCCAAGUUCUUGCCUUCCGCUGGGCACCACUGACCUCUCAAGAUUCCUUUUAAAGUCAGAAACAAAUUUACUGAGCAUCCCAUCAGCAGUAAUAGCCCUUUCCUUUGUCAUCAGCAGUUGGUUGCAGCAUCCCACUUUUACAUUCUUAAGAACCAGACUCAUCCUAUCUCCAUAGAGCAAUAAAGGUGGUAAUGGCUCCUUACAGUUUCAUCGCUGGAUUACCUCAGUGUUCCUCUUGUUGUUGUGGAGACCCCCUCUAACCCCUAGGUAGAAAGACCUUGAAGGGCAAAGAAAAUUCUUCCUCCCUGACAUCUGCAUACAUUUACUUCUAUGUACAUAGAAUACCUCUACAGAACACUUGCCGCAAGGAGGAAGAUAGGUACCUGGCACUAGGAAUCAGGAAAGCUGAGGAAGAGAUGUCUAUGAGUUGGAGGGCACCAUAAGGAUGGCUUCUCUUGUAGAAGAUGCAAGUUUGCUGGAUGAUGCAAGUUUGCUGGAUGAAACCGGUUUUACUUCUUGGAAGAUGAAGAGUUCUUCACUUGUACAUAAAUGUUCACACCUUUCUGCUAUAUUUAUUUUGCAGGUCCCAACCCCAAAAAUCUGGGCCAGAGGAGGUAGUGUCAGGCAGUCGUUGAAAGCCCAGUCUGAUUGUCCAGUAUUUGUGGCAAGGUCAGGAGCAUUUUUUUUGCCUAUCUGUGCAAACCGUCCAAAUUUAAAGGAAGAAGACAAGGUAAAAACAGUAAGAGGCAUCUGGGAAGCAGGUGGAAGAGUGAGUGCUGCUGACUAAUUCUCCCCUUUCUUGCCCUUCAUGGAGAACAGGCAGGCUUGUUCUCAUCCUUUAGACUCUGCUCCCUUUGUCUGCCCUGGCAAGAACAGGGGCACACUCUACCUGAUACAAAGUGUUCCCCAAAGAAAGGCGAUGCUGCUAACGAUGAGACUGAUUGAUGCUCUUGAAGCUCCCAAGCAGUCCUGUCCCGGUGGCUCUGAUUAUUAUCUUGAAAUAUAUAUAUAAAAAAAUAAGUGUGUUUGAA